GCGUGUUUCCCCUUUUGCAUAAUUGCCAGCCAAGACAUUUUCGAAAGAAAAGGCACACGCUUCUUCUUGGAAGUUCUUGGGAGUUUCCAAGGCCCAAGCUGCGCCUCAAGGCAACUACAGCGAUUCCGUCAAUCAUGCUGCAGUUUACGAGCGACUCCUGAUAAUGGGAUGAUACUCGGUAACCACCUUGAGGAUUUUACCUCUGAGUGUUCACCACCGUACAUGAGCCAGCCUGGGCUCCCUGGAUCGUCCAGCGUUCACUUAGAGCUGUUGUUAUAGGCACUUGGGAUAGAACCAGCAUCCAUGAAGAUCAUUGUGGGACAAGCAAGAUACGAUCCAGUGCAGUCAGUGUGUGUAUGACAGUCUCAUUUGACUACUCACCGGCUUCUUGGCUUUUGGUAGCAGACAGACGCAGCUCCCAGGAAAACUGGCAUUCUGCCGAACAAGAAAAGAGCAGCCGCGAUCUUGCAGGUGUGUGCACGAGCUGGCCGCAUUCCUUUGUGUCUGCUGUUCAUCACUUCUCGCCGGUGAAAGGAAAGAGGAUGUUGGGAUGGGUCCAGAGGACAGUGAAUGUCAGAAAGAUCCCGAAACGCUGCGAACAGCAGACACCGAACCCAACCCUGCUUUCUGUACAGAAGCAUCAGAUGCAGUGGAAGAUGUGAAAUCUGGCGUCUAGUUCAGCUUGACAUCACACAUGCAUUGACAAAACACUCAUUUACAUCAAACAGGACGGUCUCUACCUGAAUCAAAGUGAAGUCAAAAUUCAAAAUUGGAUUGGGUCAUCAUAUAAAUACAGAGUCCUCUUUUGGUUCCUUUGGGGAGGAGAGCUGGUCCUGUGGUAGCAAGCAUGAAUUGCCCCCUUUGCUAAGCAGGGACGAUCCUGGUUUGCAUUUGAAUGGGAGACGACAUGCGUGAGCACCGUAAGAUAUUCCCCUGAGGGGAUGGAGCCACUCUGGGAAGAGCCCCUGCCUGCUUGCAUGCAGAAGGUCCCAAGUUCCCUCCCUGGCUUCUCCAAGAUAGGGCUGAGAGAGAUUCCCGCCUGCAACCUUGGAGGAGCCGCUGCCAGUCUGUGUAGACAAUACUGAGCUAGAUGGACCAAGGGUCAGACUCCGUAUAUGGCAGCUUCCUGUGUUCGUAUGGUUCAAUAGAGGUAUAACUUGUAUCUAACUAACUUGUAUAUUUUUUUAAGGAGGUUGCCUUAAAUUCAGAGUUGUCUUCUAUUUGGGUAAAUAGAGUUCUACAGUCUUUGGGAA